ensembl:lncRNA
AGACCAUCAGGGAUGGCAGUAAUUUCUGUGACAGAACACGUGAGACAGAGCCCUGCAGCACUGCGCCUGGCUGCAGCUCUCCUCCACCUCAGUGCAAACCUCCCAGCCCUGACCCUUCCACCACAGCCAGGAACAGCAGGCUGGGAGAGAUGGAGGCAGAGCCACGGCCAGCACAGAGACAGCCUGUCCCAGCAAAACUCCUCCCAGUCCUGCAACAACAAGGGAGGGCAGCAAACCCACGCCUCGGUUCCCCUGCAGGGAAGUCCUGCUUCGUCCAGCAAAGGUAGCUGAAGUGCCUCCUCUCAGCCAGCUGCACUGUGCCUGGAGCAGCUCCUCCAACACCAAGUCAGACUGGCUAGAGGAAGCAAAAGUCACUCUGCAAAGGCUUCUACUCUUCCAACUAGCAUGGUCAGCUUAUCCAUUGCAACAAUUCCCUGUGCAUGAAAACUAAUGGAGCACUGGAAGGUGGCACUGGUAAACAGCCGGAUCGCACAGACGUUCAGAAACGGAAAGGUAAUAAAUUAUAAGAAGCAGUAGUAACGUGUUCACAGUUGGGAUGAGGAUAAUGUUAUAUGAAACCUGAAUUUUCUACAGUCCCUAGGAAUAAGAAGUCAAACAGAAGAGAGCUUUUCAGCAACAAAGCCGAGGCAGCUGGCGAGAGAUGGCAGGACUCCCCAGAUAAUGUCAGAGCAGUGGCAGCUCCGUGGAAGUCCCCACAUUUCUGACUGUGG